CGUUUCUUUUGCUGGCGACCGGCGCACGGGUGAGUAGCACGUAUCCAACCUGCCCUUUACUCGGGGAUAGCCUUUCGAAAGAAAGAUUAAUACCCGAUAGUAUAAUGAUUCCGCAUGGUUUCAUUAUUAAAGGAUUCCGGUAAAGGAUGGGGAUGCGUUCCAUUAGGUUGUUGGUGAGGUAACGGCUCACCAAGCCUUCGAUGGAUAGGGGUUCUGAGAGGAAGGUCCCCCACAUUGGAACUGAGACACGGUCCAA
rnacentral:rRNA from 1 species